rnacentral:rRNA from 1 species
ACACGAACCGUCCAAACGUUAUUCGGAAUCAUUGGGCUUAAAGGGUGCGUAGGCGGCGCGGUAAGUUGGGUGUGAAAUCCCUCGGCUCAACCGAGGAACUGCGCCCAAUACUGCCGUGCUCGAGGGAGACAGAGGUAAGCGGAACUGAUGGUGGAGCGGUGAAAUGCGUUGAUAUCAUCAGGAACACCAGUGGCGAAAGCGGCUUACUGGGUCUCUUCUGACGCUGAGGCACGAAAGCUAGGGUAGCGAACGGGAUUAGAAACCCCAGUAGUCC